rnacentral:rRNA from 1 species
CUGGCUCAGGAUGAACGCUAGCUACAGGCUUAACACAUGCAAGUCGAGGGGCAGCAUUGGGAUAGCUUGCUAUUCAGAUGGCGACCGGCGCACGGGUGAGUAACGCGUAUCCAACCUUCCUGCCAGUAGGGAACAGCCCGGCGAAAGUCGGAUUAAUGCCCUAUGUUCUUCAAUGCGGACAUCUAAGUUGAAGGAAAGAUUCAUCGCUGGCAGAUGGGGAUGCGUCCGAUUAGCUUGCCGGCGGGUAACGGCCCACCGGGGCGACGAUCGGUAGGGGUUCUGAGAGGAAGGUCCCCCACACUGGUACUGAGACACGGACCAGACUCCUACGGGAGGCAGCAGUGAGGAAUAUUGGUCAAUGGGCGUAAGCCUGAACCAGCCAAGUAGCGUGCAGGAAUGACGGCCCUACGGGUUGUAAACUGCUUUUAUGCGGGGAUAAAGUGCGGCACGUGUGCCGCUUUGCAGGUACCGCAUGAAUAAGGACCGGCUAAUUCCGUGCCAGCAGCUGC